rnacentral:lncRNA from 1 species
YAUCCUGUAGGAUAAAGGCCAGCGACUGUGGAGCUCACUGACUGGAAGAGGACACAGACAGUGUAUCAGAUCCGAGCAGCCUGUCAAUACAUGUCCUCCAGAGCUUUCUAGCAUCCUGGAUUCUCUCCAGAAGCGUGGAAGCACGUUCAACCAGACAUUACUGAGACACAUUCCAGAAAUACUGUAUGGACAGAAGGGAGAAGCGCAAAGUACCGUUUGGGUGUUUUGGAUGCAUUCCCUUUUGCUGUCAAGGUAAACCGUGUCCUAACCUUGUAGAAACACUUGC